GUAGUCUCGCACAGAUGCAUAUCAAUAAGCGGAGGAAAAGAAACUAACAAGGAUUCCCCUAGUAACGGCGAGUGAAGCGGGAAGAGCUCAAAUUUGAAAUCUUAAAGGGUUUCCCUUUACGAAUUGUAGUUUAAAGAAGUGUUUUCUGUUGAGGUUUUGGUAAAAGUUCUUUGGAAUAGGACAUCAUAGAGGGUGAGAAUCCCGUAUUUGACCUUUACUUUCAACUUUGUGAUACACUUUCAAAGAGUCGGAUUGUUUGGGAAUGCAGUCCAAAAUGGGUGGUAAAUUUCAUCUAAAGCUAAAUAUUGGCGAGAGACCGAUAGCGAACAAGUACCGUGAGGGAAAGAUGAAAAGAACUUUGAAAAGAGAGUUAAACAGUACGUGAAAUUGUCAAAAGGGAAGCGUUUGACACCAGUGUUGUUUUUCUGAAAAUCAAUUAAAGAACUGUUUAUGCUAAGCUGUUUAGACUUUAUCAGCUAAUCUGUUUAGUUUUGAGCUUUUCUUUAAUGCACUUUUCAGUUAACAAGUCAACAUCAAUUUCUUUUGCUGUAAAAAAGCUUGAGGAAGGUGGCUUGAGAUUCGUCUUAAGUGUUUAUAGCCUCUUGCCUAUGCAGUCGGAGAGAUUGAGGUCUGCAGCGUAGAUCCUUCGGGGCUAAAUGCAUUUGUGCUAAGUUAUAGCAUUUUAUAGACAACUUGUUGACUAUGAUUUGUCUUGUAGCUUACUCGCUUAUGUUAUUUUACCUACGCUUAGGAUGUUGACGCAUGAGAUAUACG
rnacentral:rRNA from 1 species